rnacentral:rRNA from 1 species
AUCAUGGCUCAGGAUGAACGCUAGCUACAGGCUUAACACAUGCAAGUCGAGGGGAAACGAUAUUGGAAGCUUGCUUCCGAUAGGCGUCGACCGGCGCACGGGUGAGUAACGCGUAUCCAACCUGCCCGUCACUUGGGAAUAACCUUGCGAAAGUAAGACUAAUGCCCAAUGACAUUUAUAGAAGGCAUCUGAAAUGAAUUAAAGAUUUAUCGGUGAUGGAUGGGGAUGCGUCUGAUUAGCUUGUUGGCGGGGUAACGGCCCACCAAGGCGACGAUCAGUAGGGGUUCUGAGAGGAAGGUCCCCCACAUUGGAACUGAGACACGGUCCAAACUCCUACGGGAGGCAGCAGUGAGGAAUAUUGGUCAAUGGGCGAGAGCCUGAACCAGCCAAGUAGCGUGCAGGACGACGGCCCUAUGGGUUGUAAACUGCUUUUAUAAGGGAAUAAAGUGAGUCUCGUGAGGCUUUUUGCAUGUACCUUAUGAAUAAGGACCGGCUAAUUCCGUG